GAUGAACGCUGGCGGCGUGCCUAAUACAUGCAAGUCGAGCGAACGGACGAGAAGCUUGCUUCUCUGAUGUUAGCGGCGGACGGGUGAGUAACACGUGGAUAACCUACCUAUAAGACUGGGAUAACUUCGGGAAACCGGAGCUAAUACCGGAUGAUAUUUUGAACCGCAUGGUUCAAAAGUGAAAGACGGUCUUGCUGUCACUUAUAGAUGGAUCCGCGCUGCAUUAGCUAGUUGGUAAGGUAACGGCUUACCAAGGCAACGAUGCAUAGCCGACCUGAGAGGAUGAUCGGCCACACUGGAACUGAGACACGGUCCAGACUCCUACGGGAGGCAGCAGUAGGGAAUCUUCCGCAAUGGGCGAAAGCCUGACGGAGCAACGCCGCGUGAGUGAUGAAGGUCUUCGGAUCGUAAAACUCUGUUAUUAGGGAAGAACAUAUGUGUAAGUAACUGUGCACAUCUUGACGUUACCUAAUCAGAAAGCCACGGCUAACUACGUG
rnacentral:rRNA from 1 species